UAAAAUUGUUUUCUACUGUUACAAUGGUGUCAGUUAGAAGCUCUAUUUUAAUAAUUUAUAACACACAUUUUCUGUAUAAUUAUUUAGUUAUUUUUGUGGUUUAAAAUGUUUUUACUCAAUAGCCUAGAAUAUGUGCAAAAAUCAAAGCAAUCAGUUCCUUAGUGCGUAUGAUCCCAGAAGUAAUUUUAUUUCCUCCUCUCCUUUCUUUAUCCACAAGGCCAAAAUCUGAUUAAAUGUCCUGCUUUCCUUGUAUGAGAGGGUUCUGAUCCAGUGGAGAAAUGGUGGCACGGUUUUCCAUUUGCCUAGAUGGCUUGAAUGCCAUCAAUGUCAUCCUGAGGAAGAAGGAAUUCAUUAGGAUCCGUGUAGGAGUAAGUUGGAUACAUCAGUGCUCCAGGAUCAUUUGAAUGAGAUAGACCGAGUGAAUGGCCAAGCUCAUGGGCAAUAACAAUGAAUAAAUUGUAUCCUGUAGGAUAAAAAUCAUAUGAAACAAGGCUUCCUCCUCAUCAAGAUGCACAUCUCCACCAAUACCUUCACCAGGCUGGAAAGCAUGAGCCAGCUGCCCAUUGGGGCCAUCAAAAGGAGAGUUGUCACGGUGAUCUAAAAUGAAGAGAAAAAAAUCCCUCAGAAUCCUAAAUUACUUCUAUGACUGCAGACGUCAACUUAAUGCAUAAAGAUACCAAUAUUACCUCUAUA